rnacentral:rRNA from 1 species
UACGAAGGGGGCUAGCGUUGUUCGGAAUUACUGGGCGUAAAGCGCGCGCAGGCGGCCUUUCAAGUCAGUGGUGAAAGCCCGGAGCUCAACUCCGGAACUGCCAUUGAAACUGUUUGGCUUGAGUACGAGAGAGGUGAGUGGAAUUCCCAGUGUAGAGGUGAAAUUCGUAGAUAUUGGGAAGAACACCGGUGGCGAAGGCGACUCGCUGGAUCUUUGCUGACGCUGAGACGCGAAAGCGUGGGGAGCAAACAGG